AGGGGGCGGAGCGCGCGGCUCGCUGCCUCUCUCCUCCCCCGGGAGGCUCAGGGGCCCCUAUCUCGGGCCGCCGCGCCUAGGCCCGUGAGCAGCCUGUGGUUGGGGCAUGGCGGCACAGCCCACCGGCGUGCCCGCGAGACAGCUGUGCUCCUGAUUCUCAGGCCUCGGGACCCAGACCAGGAUUUCCAUCAGCUCCCCUGGCUCGCAGGCCUUCUGACUUCUGACUCACCAUGGGUUCUCCUGGAUCCAGCUUGAUGAUGGCAGAUCGUGGGACUUCUUGGCCUCCGUAAUCACAUGAAACAAUGCCCACAAUUGCCCGUGCCUGGAGAACAUAGUGGAACUCCAUCUCUACAAAAAAAUUAAAAAAUUAGUUGGGCAUGGUAGUGAGUGCCUGUGGUCCCAGCUACUCAGGAGACAGAGGUGGGAGGACUGCUUGAACCCAGGAGAUCAAGGGUGCAGUGUGCCAUGACUGAGUCACGGAACUCCAACCUGGGCAAGAGAAUGAGAUCCUGCCUGAAAAACAAAAACAAAAAAGACAAAAUUUUGAGUCCAUAAAAUAUAUGAUUGAUAAAUGCAACUGCAUCAAAAUUAAAGCUUUUGUAUGGUGAAAAACA